rnacentral:rRNA from 1 species
AUGGCGCUCUCGCGACCGCGCAGGUGGCGGCUGGGCGCGCGCCGCCGCCGGCCGGAUCUCCGGCCUCGGGCCUCCUUUGCUGCCGCUGAGACCGGAUCCGGACUCCCCGCGGCGUCCACUCCCGCACCAGCCUCGGCGCCGCACCGUCCCCUCGUCAACACCGCGACGCCGCUCUCGCGAACCUCCAUCGCGGGAGCCGCUCCAGCUCCGUCUUCCACUACUGUAGCCGCCGUCCUCCAGCCGCCAGCGUCAGUCCUUCGAGGGCUGAGCUUUGCCGUGGCCUCCUCUGCUUCCCCGAGUCCAGAUGCUCGCGAGUUCUCUGCCAUGUCGCUGCAGCUGCUGGGUCGUCAGACCUCGGUUGCCGGUGAUGUGGGUGUGGCCGUGGAGACCAGGUCGGGGCAGCCUCUGCCUGCGCGUGUGGUGCCAGCGUCGAACGCCCCAGCUGCAGGCAGUGUCCCGGCUACCGCCGCCAUCCCUCGACUGCGGCCGGUGCCCCCAAGUUUGAGAUUUAGGAAGGAAGAUAGGGGUGUUAAGGCCUCGCUGCGUUCCAAGACCGCGACAACAGCUGCUUCGGCACCGCCGCCUGCCACCCCCGCCCUUCUUGCCAUUGCCGCCACGGGCCUGCUGUUGCCGGCUCUUGUUGCCCCGGCCAAUGGCGGCGGCAUGGACUGCGUAGAGGAGCUGCCCUCCCUGUAUCCAUCAGCUAACGCAGAGGGCAUCGUCGUUGGCAUGGAGGAUUUGCUGACCAGUGCGCGAAGAUCUGUUUUGUGGGCCUCUGCCACUGACAAUGACGAUGAAGACGAAGACGAAGAGGAGCUGGCCUCUCAAACGCCGCCGGUUGCUGCCAAGGCCGUCGACUCUGGCAAGAUGUGUGUGGGUCAUGAGGUGGACAUGGGUGGGGGUUGGCAGGAGGUGCUGCCGCGGCGCAGCCCGCAUUGGCUGCCAUUGCCGCCGUCAUCCACGACAAUAGCUCCUCGUCCCAUUCCUGCUUGGCUUCAUGGUAGAUGCUACAGAUGCUUUGCUCAUGGGCAUCAUGCGGCUCAUUGCAGAGAUCCGUUGCGAUGCUCACGUUGUUUGGAGAAUGGUCAUCGUGCGCACGGAUGUCGCAAUCCCUGGCGUCCUCUAAGCUCGCCGGCAUGCCUUGCCACGCCGCCCGUGGCCAGCGUCCACACCAUGCAUGGUCCUACAUCAGCUUUACGCAAGGGUCCAAUGAAAUUCACGCCCCCCUUCAAGGCGCUUCGCCGUGGGUCCUGGGCGUCUGUUGUAUCUGCAACGGCGGACUCGACAACCUCAUCUGAAGUGGUGCUGCAGUCCGCUCUAGCUGAUCAGAUUGCGCUGCUGCAAGGCUGCAUGGUGCGGGUUGGGAGCUUUUUGGAGCGGGCGGAGGUUCCUCUGAGUAGACUCUCCCUUAUGCCGGCUAUGCUGCAAACUGCUAUGACGUCACAUCCUCCUAUUGCAGUUGGUGUUUGCUCCCAGGAGGACACGGAGGCAAAGUUAUAUGGUUGUUUCUCCCCCCGUGUUGGGGACAUUUCGUCGUCGAUGUCUGCCUCGCCCCCUGUGUUAUGUACCUCUCAAGACGAUUCCAUCGCCAUGCUCGUGGCUCCGAUGCUGCAAAUCAUGCCCGAGAUUAGGGAGCUAUGUAUGAGCUCUGCUUCGCUUUUGUCAGUGAAGCACAUGAAGGUGGACUCACUAGUGACCUUGUGUGAGGGAGAUGAUUCAUGUCUGUCAUGUGAGCAUCCAGAGGCGUCUUCUGAGUCCUUCGGGUCGGAGGUGCAUGUGGUUGAGGAUAUUGAUGUGGCCGAGGUCGACCCUCUCGCUGUCGCGGUGCUUGAGACGGGGGAGGCGAUUGCCACCAAGGUCAUGACCCCAGACCCUUCCAAGCUCCAAACAAUGGUGAGGGUCUUCUUCAACAAAGCUGGCUACGAUCUCCGCAUCUUUGUAGAGGGGGCUGCCGCGGAGGAGGGCGUGAGCCCCGGACCCGGUGAUGGCACGUCCAGACCUCAGGCUGAUGGGGACAAGGGUGAUGGGCGGGGCAGUCCCGAUCACCGCCGCUCUCAAUCCCUGGCCUCGGAGGACGAGGAUGAGACUUCGGGGUUGGACGCCCCUCCUAGGUGCGACCCCAAGAAGGGCACGGAGCGGACGACCUUGGACGACAAGCUGAACGAAGAUGAAGACCUGGAGGUGAUCGCGGGAAUGUUGGACGACACUUCCACGAUUACCCCUAACGCGUGUGUAUCCCUGUUGCUUGAAUCUCCGGAGCCCUCUGGGAAGGUGGUGGGGAAGAGUGAUGCCAACAGUGUGGGCAUGGAGGUGUGCCUGCCUUCCUCCCUCUGCAUUGCUUCCCCUCCUACUUGCACAGAGCCCCCGCCUCCUCUGGUGAUCCUCCAGGCUUCCAUCGCAUCACAGGCCACAGCCCCUUGGCUGGUGGCGGGGUUACCCUGA